rnacentral:tRNA from 1 species
GGACGGGUGCCCGAGCUGGCCAAAGGGAGCAGACUGUAAAUCUGCCGGCGUACGCCUACGGAGGUUCAAAUCCUCCCCCGUCCACCA